CUUCAAGGCCCGCCUCCUUCAAGGUCCUGACUGGUUCACGGCAAAUGUGGGUCGGGGCCUAAGGGAAGGCAUUGAGGUUUGAAGGCUGCGAGCUGCCCGGAGAGAAGCAAGAGGUGUCCCAGGGGGAGGGGCCUGACAUGGGUCCUGCUGGGGGCCACGGCCAAGGCCGCCCCCGUGCCCCGUUUGGCCAGCACGAGGCACCUGCUGAUCCAAGGAAAGGAGGGGUCUGAGCAUAAAGCCGGUUCUCCUUCUCCAGGGACUUCAGAAUGCUGGUGGGUGUGCUGACCCAGGAGGUGGGCUGCCAGUGCCCUGGACUGCAAGGCCGCAUCCACGGGAAGGAGUCUACUGUGUGAGCAGGUUGAGUGAAUGCUCCCCGAGGCCUUCAGUGCUCUCUGCUCCCCUGAGCCUGUGGUAGGUGGCUCCCAGCACCCAGAGCUUCUCUUUGGCACACCCCUACCCACACUAUUUGUUGUCUGUGCCUACAGGCUGUAACUAGAACUGUGUCUCACUCAUCUCUGUAUAGUCCCUGUGCCUGGCUGGUUUAGGCUUUCAGUAGCUGGAUGGAUAGAUGGAUGGAUGAAGGAAUGCCCCAAGGAACAGAAACCUGAAGUAACUACCCCAGCAUUGCCUCUUCUCGUUGCUCCCAUGUUCAUGUCUGCUGCAUCCCAGGGGACUGGUUAGUUGUGUGGGUCUGUGAUUGUCAGGUGGGAGACCACUGCCCUCCUGAGCUGGCCCUGGACCAGAACCACACAGCAGCUGACCUCCUGGCCCAGGCUGUGCAUGAACAGCCUGGGGCACCUGCCCUGCUCACUCACCAGCUGAGCAUCUGGAUUGACCCCACUGGCAACAGUGAGGAGGCUGGGACAGGAGCCAGGCAAGGUUGGGGAGAAGGAGGGGCCAGAAGUCCAGCCCAAGGAGCAGGGAAAGGAACAGGCAAGAACUGGGGCAGAGCGCUGCGGAUGGAGCCUGGGCAGUGGAGGGGGUUCUGGGGAAGGCCCUGGGGCUUGAAACAGGGCUCUGGGCUGAGACCAAGGUGGGAAGGAGGGAUGCAAGGAGGCUGAAUUGUCCCUCCCAACACUUUCCUUGGCCACGUCAAGUGGCGUGGAGUCCAGAUAUUUCUCAAAGCAAAAUCAUUUUCAUUCUCAUGUUACCCCAAAACAGGGUAGGAUAAAAGCUUAAGGUAACAAAAUCGAUCCCCUUAAUGUCUUAUGCAAUCCUCACAACUGCCCUGUAAGGUGUGGAAGGGAGUAGUUUUCCUCUUACUUGAGGGGGGAGGAAGCUGAGGCUCAGGAAGUGUGAACGUUUGGCCAAAGUCCCCCCAUUCAUGCCAUGCAGAGCCUGUGUGGCACGAGUGCCUCUGAACUUAGGGCACCUGCUGGAGGUGGGCGGGGUGCACCCGGAGUCUGUGUGUCUGGUAUCUGCGGGAUCUGCAGGCUGCCCCUGAGCCUCGCUUUCCUUGAAGAAAGGAUGUAAGGUGACUUUGGCAGUGAUGGUGUUCUCCUGGGUACUAGGGUGCUGUGACCUUGUCUUGCCAGGCAUCUGGGGGAGUCAGAGAGGGCCACCAUGGUGACUCCACCAACCAGGGCAUCUCUGACCUUGUCCUUGUUUUGAUCUAACCCUGUAGUCUGGGAGCUGCCAUCGAGCACCCACGCCUCCCUUAUAACCAAAGCUGGGGCCUUUGGAUUUAGGUCUCAGUUCCCUAAUUCAGACACAACCUCCUGACCUUAAGUUCUAGCCACCACCCUUUCUAUCCUCUCUAGCAAAGGGAUGGCCCUGAUGCUGCACCCUUUGGUUCCUCUGUCUCCCUCCUCUCUCCUCCUCUUCCUCCUCCUCACCGUUUCCCUGGCAUCU